rnacentral:rRNA from 1 species
AGUCUGGUGCCAGCAGCCGCGGUAAUUCCAGCUCCAUUAGUGUAUAUUUAAGUUGUUGCGGUUAAAACGUUCGUAGUCUAAUUUCGGGCGGUUUCGCUAGAGCGUCUGGCAGAUGCUGUGACCUUUGGCGUCCGUCUUUUCUCCUUUAUGCGACCCCGCGCUAUUAACUUAGUGUGGGUACUCGUUAAAGGUCGUUCACCUUGAACAAAUCAGAGCGUUCAAAGCAGGCCACAUUGGCCUUUGAAUGUUUAUGCAUGGGAUGAUGGAAUAGGGCUCAGGUCCUAUUUUGUUGGUUUCUAGGAACUGAGUAAUGAUUAAUAGGAGCGGUUGGGGGUAUCGGUACUGUGGCGUUAGAGGUGAAAUUCUUGGAUCGCCGCAUGACCAACUUCUGCGAAAGCAUUUACCAAGCACGUCUCCAUUGAUCAAGAACGAAAGUUGAGGGAUCGAAGAUGAUCAGAUACCGUCGUAGUCUCAACCAUAAACGAUGCCGACCGAGGAUGUGCGAGAGUUUAUUCAAUGACCUCGUGCGAACUCCAUGAGAAAUCCGAGUUUUUGGGUUCCGGGGGGAGUAUGGUCGCAAGGCUGAAACUUAAAGGAAUUGACGGAAAGGCACCACAAGGAGUGGAGCUUGCGGCUUAGUUUGACCCAACACGGGAAAACUUACCAGGGCCGGACAAGAGAAGGAUUGACAGAUUGAGAGCUCUUUCUUGAUUCUUUGGGUGGUGGUGCAUGGCCGUUCUUAGUUGGUGGAGUGAUUUGUCUGGUUAAUUCCGUUAACGAACGAGACCUUAACCUGCUAAAUAGUCACGUUAGCCUUCUGAUAUGCUGUGAAGCCCGCGCAGCGGCGGGCCCUAACGGGCGUGUCCUGGGCGGGCGGAUCAGUUGAUGAGCUGACGGCAGUACUUCUUAGAGGGACUUCUGGCUUCAAGACAGAGGAAGUUUGAGGCAAUAACAGGUCUGUAAUGCCCUUAGAUGUCCUGGGCUGCACGCGUGCUACAAUGCAAGAUUCAGCAUGUUUCUCCUUCCGCGACAGCGGUCGGUAAUCCUUGAAGGUCUUGCGUGUUUGGGAUUGACUCUUGAAAUUUUGGGUCAUGAACGAGGAAUUCCUAGUAAGGCCAACUCAACAGGUUGGCUUGACUGCGUCCCUGCCUUUUGUACACACCGCCCGUCGCUCCUACUGAUGGUUACCUCGACAAGGACUUGGGAGAGCGGUGCAUCGCCAUGG